rnacentral:rRNA from 1 species
GAGUUUGAUCAUGGCUCAGAACGAACGCUGGCGGCGUGCCUAACACAUGCAAGUCGAGCGAGAACGGGGGGGCAACUCCCCUAGUAAAGCGGCGAACGGGCGAGUAACACGUAGGCAACCUACCCUCGAGCCCGGGAUAACCUACCGAAAGGUGGGCUAAUACCAGAUAUGACCACGGAAGUUUCGGCUUCUGCGGUGAAAGGUGGCCUCUGCUUGCAAGCUACCACUCAAGGAUGGGCCUGCGCGCCAUUAGCUAGUUGGCGGGGUAAUGGCCCACCAAGGCGAUGAUGGCUAGCUGGUCUGAGAGGAUGGCCAGCCACACUGGGACUGAACACGGCCCAGACUCCUACGGGAGGCAGCAGUGGGGGAUAUUGCGCAAUGGGCGAAAGCCUGACGCAGCGACGCCGCGUGGGUGAUGAAGGCCUUCGGGUC